rnacentral:rRNA from 1 species
UACGUAGGGGGCAAGCGUUGUCCGGAAUCAUUGGGCGUAAAGCGCGUGUAGGCGGCUGGGUAAGUCCGCUCUGAAAGCCCGGGGCUCAACCCCGGGAGGCGGGUGGAUACUGCUCAGCUCGAGUCCGGAAGAGGAGUGUGGAAUUCCUGGUGUAGCGGUGAAAUGCGCAGAUAUCAGGAGGAACACCAAUGGCGAAGGCAGCACUCUGGGACGGUACGGACGCUGAGACGCGAAAGCGUGGGAGCAAACAGG